rnacentral:rRNA from 1 species
AGUGAACGCUGGCGGUAGGCCUAACACAUGCAAGUCGAACGGCAGCACAGUAAGAGCUUGCUCUUACGGGUGGCGAGUGGCGGGCGGGUGAGGAAUACAUCGGAAUCUACUUUUUCGUGGGGGAUAACGUAGGGAAACUUACGCUAAUACCACAUACGACCUACGGGUGAAAGCAGGGGAUCUUCGGACCUUGCGCGAUUGAAUGAGCCGAUGUCGGAUUAGCUAGUUGGCGGGGUAAAGGCCCACCAAGGCGACGAUCCGUAGCUGGUCUGAGAGGAUGAUCAGCCACACUGGAACUGAGACACGGUCCAGACUCCUACGGGAGGCAGCAGUGGGGAAUAUUGGACAAUGGGCGCAAGCCUGAUCCAGCCAUACCGCGUGGGUGAAGAAGGCCUUCGGGUUGUAAAGCCCUUUUGUUGGGAAAGAAAAGCAGCAGGUUAAUACCCCGCUGUUCUGACGGUACCCAAAGAAUAAGCACCGGCUAACUUCGUG